CACGUAGGGCGCAAGCGUUGUCCGGAAUUAUUGGGCGUAAAGCGCACGUAGGCGGAUUGUUAAGUCAGGGGUGAAAUCCUGGAGCUCAACUCCAGAACUGCCUUUGAUACUGGCGAUCUUGAGUCCGGGAGAGGUGAGUGGAACUGCGAGUGUAGAGGUGAAAUUCGUAGAUAUUCGCAAGAACACCAGUGGCGAAGGCGGCUCACUGGCCCGGUACUGACGCUGAGGUGCGAAAGCGUGGGGAGCAAACAGG
rnacentral:rRNA from 1 species